rnacentral:tRNA from 1 species
GCCUGGGUGGCUCAGUCGGUUGAGCGUCCGACUUCAGCUCAGGUCACGAUCUCACAGUUCGUGAGUUCGAGCCCCACAUUGGGCC